CCUACGGGAGGCAGCAGUGAGGAAUAUUGGUCAAUGGACGAGAGUCUGAACCAGCCAAGUAGCGUGAAGGAUGACUGCCCUAUGGGUUGUAAACUUCUUUUAUAUGGGAAUAAAAUGUUCCACGUGUGGGAUUUUGUAUGUACCAUAUGAAUAAGGAUCGGCUAACUCCGUGCCAGCAGCCGCGGUAAUACGUAGGAUCCGAGCGUUAUCCGGAUUUAUUGGGUUUAAAGGGAGCGUAGGUGGAUUGUUAAGUCAGUUGUGAAAGUUUGCGGCUCAACCGUAAAAUUGCAGUUGAAACUGGCAGUCUUGAGUACAGUAGAGGUGGGCGGAAUUCGUGGUGUAGCGGUGAAAUGCUUAGAUAGCACGAAGAACUCCGAUUGCGAAGGCAGUUCACUGGACUGCAACUGACACUGAGGCUCGAAAGUGUGGGUAUCAAACAGGAUUAGAUACCCCUGUAGUC
rnacentral:rRNA from 1 species